GCCUGAAUGAUGUAGUGGUUUGACUGUAGGAAUAUAACUCUAGAGACCAGGGUUCGAUUCCCAGCUCGGCCA